UACGUAGGGUGCGAGCGUUUAAUCGGAAUUACUGGGCGUAAAGCGUGCGCAGGCGGUAAGUUAAGUCUGAUGUGAAAGCCCCCGGGCUCAACCUCGAGACGCCGGUGGAAACCAUCAGACUAGAGUCCGGAAGAGGAGAGUGGAAUUCCUGGUGUAGCGGUGAAAUGCGCAGAUAUCAGGAAGAACACCCGUGGCUAAGGCGGCUCUCUAGUACGGUACUGACGCUAGACGCGAAAAGCGUGGGG
rnacentral:rRNA from 1 species